rnacentral:rRNA from 1 species
CCUACGGGAGGCAGCAGUGAGGAAUAUUGGUCAAUGGGCGCGAGCCUGAACCAGCCAAGUAGCGUGAAGGAUGACGGCCCUACGGGUGGUAAGCUUCUUUUGUAAAGGAGUAGAAUGAGGCACGUGUACCUUUUUGUAUGUAUUUUCUGAGUACGGAUCGGCUAACUCCGUGCCAGCAGCCGCGGUAAUACGGAGGAUCCGGGGUUUAUCCGGAUUUAUUGGGUUUAAAGGGAGCGUAGAUGGCGUGUUAAGUCAGUUGUGAAUGGUUGCGGCUCAACCCUAAAAUUUCAAUUGAUACUGGAAGACUUGAGUACAGGCGAGGUAGGUGGAAUUCCUGGUGUAGCGGUGAAAUGCUUAGAUAUUACGAAGAACUCCGAUUGCGAAGGCAGCUUACUAAACUGUCACUGACAUUGAUGCUCGAAAGCGUGGGUAUCAAACAGGAUUAGAUACCCGUGUAGUC